GACAGGCGGACAGAGCCCCCACAGACGGACGGGGAAAACCUCGCGAGAAACGGGGAAGGGGUGGGGAAGGGAGAGGCGCCCGCCAGUCCCCGCCCCCGCCUGCCCGCCCGCCGGUACCUCGGACCGGGGCGCUGCCCAGAUGUUCCCCUGCCUCCUCUGGUAGCCCAGCGGCAGGGCGGCGGUCACAGCUUCUGCCGUGGUCCUGGUGCCUGAGGGGCGGCUUCAGAGCAAGGCAUCAGCUGGCAGCCAGUUACACUUCUGAGGUCUUCCUGGAUGACCUAGCAAUACAUCCUAGUAGAAACCUGGAACCAAUACCUUCAGGGAAGAAAGAGCUUCUGAAUAUACCUCAUUUGGGCCAUAAGCCUGAAGAGGUGACAACAGCAUCAAAAUUGUUCGCUGUUUUACUACUGAGUCAAAAACAUCCAAUGACUUUGUUAUUAAAAUGAAGAUUCCUGUGAGUACAUCAGUCCCUUAGAAAUUACUGAUGUCCUGAUCUGUUUCCAAAUCUUGAAAACUCUUGGUGCGGAUAUACAAAGGUCUGCAGUCUGCUGAAACCAAAAAAAUAUGAGAAGUUUCAUAGAAACCAAAAUUAAACAGCGUUGCCUGUGAUAAUAUUGAGUCAUCAGUUUUUAAAUUUAUUGGAAGUGGACAGUGUCCAGCAGACUGCUCCAUCAUUUUUGGACCUGUACUAUAAAAUGUCCAUGGGAGGUGCUUGGUUGCAAGAUGCAUAGUUUCUGCAGAUGAAAUGUGAAGCAGAGAGCUAAGCAACUAGCCAGCAAAGAAUACUUUCACUGAGCCAGGUUGACUGAGCCAGGUAAUGUCCCUUUUCUUUGGUUGUUUAUCCCACUGUUUAGCUGGAACUCAAUUUAAUCACUUAAUUUCCUAGAAGCUUCUGCCUUCCCACAUCCAUCUGACUUUUCCCUCCAAUACUCUCCCUUCCUCAGGUUCUCAGGAAAGUAGGAUUCCCCUUAUACCCUUUUGAAACAUAUAUCCCUUUCCUUUCAGAGUGACCCCAGACUUCAGCUUCUCCCACCUUUUUUGUAACAUUGUGCUUUCCCAAAGGAAACGACAGACACAAUAUAUGCAGCCUCACCUCUGCUAAAUGUUCUUAGCCAUGGACAGCCCCAACCAUAAGCAAAUAUUGAGGAACAGUUACUAAUAAUAAGUCAGUUAUUUUGUCCCUAGCUGAGGCUGAUGGGCAAGGACCUUGUCAAGCAUUUUGUGACACUUCAUUCUCCAUAGCACAACAUGCAUUGCCACCUAUGCUGUGUUGAAAUUUCAUAACAUGCAUACAGACAUUUCAAGUCUUAAGGCUUUUUUUCCCCCAGUGGACAGGUGCUGCUUCAAUUUUUUUUGUCUUUUGUUAUAAGUACACUCUUCCCAAGCUUCAGUCAGUUUUACUUUUUUUUUCUAAAUCUUCACUGUCUUUAUACGUUACUGUGAACAAGAUGUGAAUUUGUUAUGUAAUCUUAUACACAUAUUUCAGAAAAUAAAC
rnacentral:lncRNA from 1 species